UAGUCUAUGCCGUAAACGAUGAUUACUUGAUGCUGGCGAUAUACUGUCAGUGUCUAAGCGAAAGUGUUAAGUAAUCCACUUGGGGAGUACGAUCGCAAGGUUGAAACUCAAAGGAAUUGACGGGGGCCCGCACAAGCGGUGGAGCAUGUGGUUUAAUUCGAUGAUACGCGAGAAACCUUACCAGGGCUUAAAUGUAGAACGACAUUCUGGGAAACCAGAACUUCUUCGGACGGACUACAAGGUGCUGCAUGGUUGUCGUCAGCUCGUGCCGUGAGGUGCCGGGUUAAGUCCCAUAACGAGCGCAACCCCUAUUCUUAGUUGCCAACAGAUAAUGCUGGGGACUCUAAGAAACUGCCCGUGCAAACGGAGAGGAAGGUGGGGAUGACGUCAAAUCAUCACGGCCCUUACGUCCUGGGCUACACACGUGCUACAAUGGUCGGUACAAAGGGCAGCUACUUGGACAACAAGAUGCUAAUCUACUAAACGCCGGCCUCAGUUCGGAUUGAGUCU
rnacentral:rRNA from 1 species